UACGUAGGGGGCGAGCGUUGUCCGGAUUUACUGGGCGUAAAGGGUGAGUAGGCGGUUAUAUAUGUCAGGUGUAAAAGGCUAUGGCUUAACCAUGGUUAGCACUUGAAACUGUAUGACUUGAGUGCAGGAGAGGUAAGUGGAAUUCCUAGUGUAGCGGUGAAAUGCGUAGAUAUUAGGAGGAACACCAGUGGCGAAGGCGACUUACUGGACUGUAACUGACGCUGAGUCACGAAAGCGUGGGUAGCAAACAGGAUUAGAUACCCGUGUAGUCCCU
rnacentral:rRNA from 1 species